UACGUAGGGCGCAAGCGUUGUCCGGAAUUAUUGGGCGUAAAGAGCUCGUAGGUGGCGUGUCGCGUCUGCCGUGAAAGCCCAUGGCUUAACUGUGGGUCUGCGGUGGAUACGGGCAGGCUGGAGGCUGGUAGGGGCAAGCGGAAUUCCUGGUGUAGCGGUGAAAUGCGCAGAUAUCAGGAGGAACACCGGUGGCGAAGGCGGCUCUCUGGGACGGUACUGACGCUGAGGAGCGAAAGCGUGGGGAGCGAACAGG
rnacentral:rRNA from 1 species